rnacentral:rRNA from 1 species
AAUACUUUGCUGGCGACCGGCGCACGGGUGAGUAACACGUAUCCAACCUGCCCUUUACUCGGGGAUAGCCUUUCGAAAGAAAGAUUAAUACCCGAUAGCAUAAUGAUUCCGCAUGGUUUCAUUAUUAAAGGAUUCCGGUAAAGGAUGGGGAUGCGUUCCAUUAGGUUGUUGGUGAGGUAACGGCUCACCAAGCCUUCGAUGGAUAGGGGUUCUGAGAGGAAGGUCCCCCACAUUGGAACUGAGACACGGUCCAAACUCCUACGGGAGGCAGCAUG